rnacentral:rRNA from 1 species
GAUGAACGCUGGCGGCGUGCCUAAUACAUGCUAGUCGAGCGAACAGAUGAGGAGCUUGCUCCUCUGACGUUAGCGGCGGACGGGUGAGUAACACGUGGAUAACCUACCUAUAAGACUGGGAUAACUUCGGGAAACCGGAGCUAAUACCGGAUAAUAUAUUGAACCGCAUGGUUCAAUAGUGAAAGACGGUUUUGCUGUCACUUAUAGAUGGAUCCGCGCCGCAUUAGCUAGUUGGUAAGGUAACGGCUUACCAAGGCAACGAUGCGUAGCCGACCUGAGAGGGUGAUCGGCCACACUGGAACUGAGACACGGUCCAGAAUCCUACGGGAGGCAGCAGUAGGGAAUCUUCCGCAAUGGGCGAAAGCCUGACGGAGCAACGCCGCGUGAGUGAUGAAGGUCUUCGGAUCGUAAAACUCUGUUAUUAGGGAAGAACAAAUGUGUAAGUAACUAUGCACGUCUUGACGGUACCUAAUCAGAAAGCCACGGCUAACUACGUG